UACGUAGGGGUCGAGCGUUGUCCGGAUUUAUUGGGCGUAAAGGGUGGGCAGGUGGCCGGUGAUGUGCCGUGUGAAAGCGCCGAAGUAAUGUCGGCGAGGUCGCGGUAGACACAUCGGCUUGAGGCAGUGAGGGGGCGGUGGAAUUCCCGGUGUAGUGGUGAAAUGCGUAGAUAUCGGGAGGAACACCAGUGGCGCAAGCGGCCGCCUGGCACUGACCUGACACUGAGCCACGACGGCGUGGGGAGCAAACGGGAUUAGAUACCCCGGUAGUCCACGCAGUAAACGAUGCAUACCCGGUGUGUGGUGACGGUUUAACCCGUCGCUGCGUGCCUCAGCUUACGCGUUGAGUAUGCCGCCUGGGGACUACGAGCGCAAGCUUAAA
rnacentral:rRNA from 1 species